rnacentral:rRNA from 1 species
AUGGACCUGGACGGCUUCCCACUUGACCACGAGUUUCCGGACGACUACGGGCAAGAGGAAGAGGACGAGUUCGACAUCGAAGUGGAGCCUUUGUUCGAGGACGAGCUCGCCAACCAAGCUGCCGGUCCGAAGCCGAAGCGCAAGAGCAAGCGCACGAAGGCAUACACGGCGGCCGAGGACAAGCUUCUUUGCGAGUGUUGGCGAUACAUUGGACAAGACCCCAAGACGGGAGCCGAAUAAAAGCAUUCAACCUUUUGGAUUCGUGUCCACCGGGAGUUUCAUGAGCGCAAGAAGUUUCCGCCUUACCAAAUUGUGAGCACGCGCGGGUGGGUGUCCAUUUCGAAGUGA